UUGGGAAGAGGGGAAGCACUGGGGAAACAAGAAUAUCACAGUUGUCUGGAAAGUCCUUGGCUCUUUUGGCGAUGUGAAUGGACUGAAGGAAUGAAGGCUUGAAGUAACAGAAAGAGCUGUUGUAGACAGAAAGACAUUCCCAUUUCAAACAAGGGACAACUCCAUUAUUACCUAGCUGUUUAUGAAUUCUUCUGCUGAGAUUCCAGCUUAAGCCAAUUACUUAAGGAAUGGUUCUCAUCCUUGGCUGUUCUCUCUGCGAUGGCACUAUUGACACUUUUUAUAUACAAUGUGCCUCCUCAAGAAGUACCCUUGGCUGCCCUUGGAAACUUUCCUUGAACUUUGCUGGAGUUAAAAUUGCUCAUGCUCCAAAUACAGCGCUGACAAAAUAGAAAAAAAUUCCAUCCUGAAAGGUGUAAAGACAGAAGUGAUAGAAGAUGAAAAAUCCAUGGAAGCAGCACAAAUGGAGGGAACAGACAUGAUUGGAGUUGUAUUUCAAGAUGAUGUUUCUAUAAAAUGGUUUACCCAAGUGAAUAUAUUGGAGAUAUAGGUAAUUUAAGAUGUUUGUGUGCUUAUGUUCCAGUUUCUAGAUACCUAUAUGUCUACAGGAAAUUUAGAUGCCAAUUUGGGCUUUUGCUGUUCUAUAGCCUUAUAUAUCAUUAAGUGUAUACUUCUAACAUAUGAAAAAUACUUCCUUCUUUAUAUCAAUUCUACAGAUGCAUAUUUAAAUAAUGUAAUAUUUUUUAAAAUGAGAUUAUAACACGUUUGGCCUCGCUGCAUAUGGCAGCACCUAGCUGACCGUGACCAUCUUGAUAAAGCUAACCAGGAUCAGACCUAGUUGGGUAAUGAAAUGACUGAAACCAAACAACCAAGCUCAGAGAGCACCAAGAACUCCACACCAAAAUGCUGCUGGUUGACCUAACAAAAAAAACUUGUUUAGUCCUAUAUUCUGUGGCUCACAAGCCCAUUUGCAGACAAGAGGUUAGUAUCCUCCUAUUCCAAGUUUUUCAGGAAGUCUUUUAUAAUUCAUAAUGAGUCCUUUAAUGAUGAGA